rnacentral:rRNA from 1 species
GGCUAGAGUUUGAUCAUGGCUCAGGACGAACGCUGGCGGCGUGCUUAACACAUGCAAGUCGAACGGGGUGUUUAUUUCGGUAAACACCAAGUGGCGAACGGGUGAGUAACGCGUAAGCAAUCUACCUUCAAGAUGGGGACAACACUUCGAAAGGGGUGCUAAUACCGAAUGAAUGUAAGAGUAUCGCAUGAGACACUUACUAAAGGAGGCCUCUGACAUAAGCUUCCGCUUGAAGAUGAGCUUGCGUCUGAUUAGCUAGUUGGUGAGGGUAAAGGCCCACCAAGGCGACGAUCAGUAGCCGGUCUGAGAGGAUGAACGGCCACAUUGGGACUGAGACACGGCCCAGACUCCUACGGGAGGCAGCAGUGGGGAAUCUUCCGCAAUGGGCGAAAGCCUGACGGAGCAACGCCGCGUGAACGAUGAAGGUCUUAGGAUCGUAAAGUUCUGUUGUUAGGGACGAAGGGUAAGAAUCAUAAUAAGGUUUUUAUUUGACGGUACCUAACGAGGAAGCCACGGCUAACUACGUGCCAGCAGCCGCGGUAAUACGUANGCGGCAAGCGUUGUCCGGAAUUAUUGGGCGUAAAGGGAGCGCANGCGGGAAACUAAGCGGAUCUUAAAAGUGCGGGGCUCAACCCCGUGAGGGGGUCCGAACUGGUUUUCUUGAGUGCAGAGAGGAAAGCG